UACGGGGGGGGCAAGCGUUGUUCGGGAUUACUGGGCGUAAAGGGCUCGUAGGCGGUUUGUCGCGUCGGGAGUGAAAACCCAGGGCUUAACCCUGGGCUGGCUUCCGAUACGGGCAGACUAGAGGUAUGCAGGGGAGAACGGAAUUCCUGGUGUAGCGGUGAAAUGCGCAGAUAUCAGGAGGAACACCGGUGGCGAAGGCGGUUCUCUGGGCAUUACCUGACGCUGAGGAGCGAAAGUGUGAGGAGCGAACAGG
rnacentral:rRNA from 1 species